GAUGAAGAACGUAGCGAAAUGCGAUAAGUAGUGUGAAUUGCAGAAUUCAGUGAAUCAUCGAAUCUUUGAACGCACAUUGCGCUCCUUGGUAUUCCAUGGGGCAUGCCUGUUCGAGCGUCAUUUGUACCUUCAAGCUUUGCUUGGUGUUGGGUGUUUGUCUCGCCUUUGCGUGUAGACUCGCCUUAAAAUAAUUGGCAGCCGGCGUAUUGAUUUCGGAGCGCAGUACAUCUCGCGCUUUGCACUCAUAACGACAGCGUCCAAAAGUACAUUUUACACUCUUGACCUCGGAUCAGGUAGGGAUACCCGCUGAACUUAAGCAUAUCAAUAAGCGGAGGA
rnacentral:misc_RNA from 1 species